rnacentral:rRNA from 1 species
UAUCUGCCGUGGGCGCUGGAGAACUGAGGGGGGCUGCUCCUAGUACGAGAGGACCGGAGUGGACGCAUCACUGGUGUUCGGGUUGUCAUGCCAAUGGCACUGCCCGGUAGCUAAAUGCGGAAGAGAUAAGUGCUGAAAGCAUCUAAGCACGAAACUUGCCCCGAGAUGAGUUCUCCCUGAGACUAUAAGUCUCCUGAAGGAACGUUGAAGACGACGACGUUGAUAGGCCGGGUGUGUAAGCGCAGCGAUGCGUUGAGCUAACCGGUACUAAUGAACCGUGAGGCUUAACCUUAC